AUUGAACGCUGGCGGCAUGCUUUACACAUGCAAGUCGAACGGUAACAGGCCUUCGGGUGCUGACGAGUGGCGAACGGGUGAGUAAUGCAUCGGAACGUACCCAGAGGUGGGGGAUAACGCAGCGAAAGCUGUGCUAAUACCGCAUGUGAUCUGAGGAUGAAAGCGGGGGACCGAGCAGCAAUGUUUGGCCUCGCGCCUUUGGAGCGGCCGAUGUCGGAUUAGCUAGUUGGUGGGGUAAAGGCCUACCAAGGCGACGAUCCGUAGCUGGUCUGAGAGGACGACCAGCCACACUGGGACUGAGACACGGCCCAGACUCCUACGGGAGGCAGCAGUGGGGAAUUUUGGACAAUGGGCGCAAGCCUGAUCCAGCAAUGCCGCGUGCGGAAAGAAGGCCUUCGGGUUGUAAACCGCUUUUGGCAGGAACGAAACGGUGUCCGCUAAUACCGGGCGCUAAUGACGGUACCUGCAGAAUAAGCACCGGCUAACUACGUG
rnacentral:rRNA from 1 species